rnacentral:rRNA from 1 species
UACGAAGGGGGCUAGCGUUGCUCGGAAUCACUGGGCGUAAAGCGCACGUAGGCGGAUCUUUAAGUCAGGGGUGAAAUCCCGGAGCUCAACUCCGGAACUGCCUUUGAUACUGGAGAUCUUGAGUCCGGGAGAGGUGAGUGGAACUGCGAGUGUAGAGGUGAAAUUCGUAGAUAUUCGCAAGAACACCAGUGGCGAAGGCGGCUCACUGGCCCGGUACUGACGCUGAGGUGCGAAAGCUAGGGGAGCGAACGGG